UGGGGAAUCUUGCGCAAUGGGCGAAAGCCUGACGCAGCCAUGCCGCGUGAGUGAUGAAGGCCUUAGGGUUGUAAACUCUUUCACCGGGGACGAUAAUGACGGUACCCGGAGAAGAAGCCCCGGCUAACUUCGUGCCAGCAGCCGCGGUAAUACGAAGGGGGCUAGCGUUGCUCGGAAUUACUGGGCGUAAAGGGCGCGUAGGCGGAUCAGCAAGUUGGGGGUGAAAGCCCGGGGCUCAACCUCGGAAUUGCCUUCAAAACUGCUGAUCUAGAGUACGGGAGAGGUGUGUGGAACUCCGAGUGUAGAGGUGAAAUUCGUAGAUAUUCGGAAGAACACCAGUGGCGAAGGCGACACACUGGCCCGUUACUGACGCUGAGGCGCGAAAGCGUGGGGAGCAAACAGGAUUAGAUACCCUGGUAGUCCACGCUGUAAACGAUGAUUGCUAGUUGUCGGCAGGCAUGCCUGUCGGUGACGCAGCUAACGCAUUAAGCAAUCCGCCUGGGGAGUACGGUCGC
rnacentral:rRNA from 1 species